AUCCAGCUGACGAGUCCCAAAUAGGAUGAAGUGGCACGUGUCCUGGAU
rfam:Schistosoma mansoni strain Puerto Rico chromosome 7, complete genome